rnacentral:rRNA from 1 species
UACAGAGGGGGCAAGCGUUAUUCGGAAUUACUGGGUGUAAAGGGUUCGUAGGCGGUGCGGCAAGUUGGGAGUGAAAUCUCUGGGCUUAACCCAGAGGCUGCUUCCAAAAACUGCUGUGCUUGAGUGUGGGAGAGGCGCGUGGAAUUGCAGGUGUAGCGGUGAAAUGCGUAGAUAUCUGCAGGAACACCCGUGGCGAAAGCGGCGCGCUGGACCACUACUGACGCUGAGGAACGAAAGCUAGGGGAGCAAACAGG